rnacentral:rRNA from 1 species
AGGCAUGUGGUUUAAUUCGAAGCAACGCGAAGAACCUUACCAGGUCUUGACAUCCCGAUGCUAUUUCUAGAGAUAGAAAGUUACUUCGGUACAUCGGUGACAGGUGGUGCAUGGUUGUCGUCAGCUCGUGUCGUGAGAUGUUGGGUUAAGUCCCGCAACGAGCGCAACCCCUAUUGUUAGUUGCCAUCAUUCAGUUGGGCACUCUAGCGAGACUGCCGGUAAUAAACCGGAGGAAGGUGGGGAUGACGUCAAAUCAUCAUGCCCCUUAUGACCUGGGCUACACACGUGCUACAAUGGUUGGUACAACGAGUUGCGAGUCGGUGACGGCGAGCUAAUCUCUUAAAGCCAAUCUCAGUUCGGAUUGUAGGCUGCAACUCGCCUACAUGAAGUCGGAAUCGCUAGUAAUCGCGGAUCAGCACGCCGCGGUGAAUACGUUCCCGGGCCUU